rnacentral:sRNA from 1 species
CUCAGGCUUAGGCUUAGGCUCAGGUUCAAGCUCGAGCUUAGUCUUAGGCUUAGG